UGAGAAAGAAGGCCCUUUGCGACAGAGCGUGGAACUUACGCCAACCCACAAUCUGGAGGCUUUGAGGUCAUUUGAACGACACAUCAUUUCCCGCAACCCAUGAAAUGAUGUACUGCUGUUGCUGUCAGUGAAUACUUGUUUAAAGCUCUUCCCUGAGAAAGAAGGCCCUUUGCGACAGAGCGUGGAACUUACGCCAACCCACAAUCUGGAGGCUUUGAGGUCAUUUGAACGACACAUCAUUUCCCGCAACCCAUGAAAUGAUGUACUGCUGUUGCUGUCAGUGAAUACUUGUUUAAAGCUCUUCCCUGAGAAAGAAGGCCCUUUGCGACAGAGCGUGGAACUUACGCCAACCCACAAUCUGGAGGCUUUGAGGUCAUUUGAACGACACAUCAUUUCCCGCAACCCAUGAAAUGAUGUACAGCUGUUGCUGUCAGUGAAUACUUGUUGAAAGCUCCUGCCUGAGAAAGAAGGCCCUUUGCGACAGAGCGUGGAACUUACGCCAACCCACAAUCUGGAGGCUUUGAGGUCAUUUGAACGACACAUCAUUU